UACAGAGGGGGCGAGCGUUGUUCGGAAUUACUGGGCGUAAAGGGCGCGUAGGCGGCCUGAUCAGUCGGGGGUGAAAGCCUGUGGCUCAACCACAGAAUGGCCUUCGAUACUGUCGGGCUCGAGACCGGAAGAGGUCAGCGGAACUGCGAGUGGAGAGGUGAAAUUCGUAGAGAUUCGCAAGAACACCAGUGGCGAAGGCGGCUGACUGGUCCGGUUCUGACGCUGAGGCGCGAAAGCGUGGGGAGCAAACAGG
rnacentral:rRNA from 1 species